rnacentral:rRNA from 1 species
AGAGUUUGAUCCUGGCUUAGGAUGAACGCUAGCUACAGGCCUAACACAUGCAAGUCGAGGGGCAGCAGAUCGAAAGCUUGCUUUUGAUGCUGGCGACCGGCGAAUGGGUGAGUCACGCGUGUCCAACCUGCCCUGUGCCCGGGGAUAGCCCUUGGAAAUGAGGAUUAACACCCGAUACGUGGCGCUUCCGCAUGGCGGCGCCAUGAAACUGACACAGGAUGGGGACGCGUCGGAUUAGCUUGACGGCGGGGCGACGGCCCACCGUGGCGACGAUCCGCAGGGGUUCUGAGAGGAAGGUCCCCCACACUGGCACUGAGACACGGGCCAGACUCCUACGGGAGGCAGCAGUGAGGAAUAUUGGUCAAUGGCCGAGAGGCUGAACCAGCCAAGUAGCCGUGCAGGACGACGGCCCUACGGGUUGUAAACUGCUUUUGCGGGAGGAUAAAGGACGCCACGUGUGGUGUUUUGCAGGUAUCCCGUGAAUAAGGACCGGCUAAUUCCGUGCCAGCAGCCGC